GUCCACUCUCACAUCCCUUUUCAUUCUUGCUCCAAGAGCGAUAUGCCUUGGACCAAUUCGGUUGCCUGUGUUGUAUACCUACGUUGAUGGAAUUCGCUCGUCCAAUCACCCCUUAUUCACCUUGUGCUGCUUACGCGGUGCAGGAUGAACCAUGCAGUGUCCUUUGUUGGGCAUUCUUGCCCUGCGUUCGCGUGAUGCAGGAAAUGGCCAAUGUCUGACACUCGAAUUCUCGGAUACGGAACCUUAAGGGGGCAACGGGUCUUUGGCCUUGAUUUGCCCAAACUAAGUUCUUACGAACGACUGUCGUGCCCGUUUUGACCUGAGGAUGCUUUUGGUCCGACUGGCUCAUGCG
rnacentral:misc_RNA from 1 species